rnacentral:rRNA from 1 species
UACGAAGGGGGCUAGCGUUGCUCGGAAUCACUGGGCGUAAAGCGCACGUAGGCGGCUUCUCAAGUCAGGGGUGAAAUCCUGGAGCUCAACUCCAGAACUGCCUUUGAUACUGAGGGGCUCGAGUCCGGGAGAGGUGAGUGGAACUGCGAGUGUAGAGGUGAAAUUCGUAGAUAUUCGCAAGAACACCAGUGGCGAAGGCGGCUCACUGGCCCGAUACUGACGCUGAGGUGCGAAAGCGUGGGGAGCAAACAGG